UGUAGAGAUACAUCAGCACACUGUCCCCCAUGCUCAGCUACAUUUAUUAGCCUUAGUACUCCAGGCUGAAAGAACAAUUCUGAGGCGGUAAGCUUGACAGGAAAGAAAUUCAUAGUAAAUAUUAAUAACAUCACUGAAUCUCUAAUUAUGCAGAUCAAUUACUUGUAGCUUGCUUAGUCUUCUUCUAGGGUGAGUUUCUUCUGUGGAAUGGAUAGUCUGACAAAAUGAAACUUGUGACAGAUCAUCUGUCAGGAGACUGAGGAGUGAAGAGAUUAUUUCUUCAGCCAGGCCAUGUGAGCAUCUCACGCUGGGAUGAGACCUGGGUUCAGCAAUCAGAGUGUCCAGCUGGAGAAGCUCAGCAGGCUCUACGUCCUGAGGCAGCGAAGUAUCUCAGCCAUGGCAUGGGGAUUAACUUCCUGAGCUGGACCUAAGAGACGAAACGACCCAUGAGGAAUGAAGACAGCAGGCUUCACCAUGUAGGACACACUCAGCGACUGUGGACGUGCCAAGAAGCAAAGGAGCAGGUACCGGGGAGGCAGAAGGGGAUGACAGCCUCUGCCAUCGCCCCCACUCUCUCUGAGGCACAACGCAAUGCACCCCUCCCCCC